CAUUUCUCUUCUGACUUUUCUUCCAUCAUCUUCUCCUCUUUUUUUCCUCAUCGAUCUUCCCCGACUCAUCUUUCUUCUCCUAACAACAAAUUAGUUAUUCAACUAGAAUUUUAUUUGAUUUCAAUUCUUCCCCAAAUCAAGUUUCGAUGGAUUUCAUUUUCUCCCCCAAACUUAUUCUGGGACAACACCAAAUCAAUUGAUGAUUUUCAUAUCCACCCAAAUCCAGUUUCAAUUUCACUUCACUAAUUCGUCACCAUUAUAUUCCGGGCGAAUUCAGAACAACAGAUAUGGUUACAUACCAAAUUCGGUAUGCGGCGAGAUGACUGAAGAAGAGCGAGCUACUGAAAGAGAAGGUGUCGUUUUUGUAAUAUCAAUUGUCGAGAAAGCAUGACAGAUGAAAAGAGAUUUCUACAAAUUUAUCGAGGAAGCAAAAUGUUGAAUGCGAAGCAACAGAUGUGGAUACAUAUGGUUACAUACCAAAUUCGGUAUGCGGCGAGAUGACUGAAGAAGAGCGAGCUACUGAAAGAGAAGGUGUCGUUUUUGUAAUAUCAAUUGUCGAGAAAGCAUGACAGAUGAAAAGAGAUUUCUACAACUUUAUCGAGGAAGCAAAAUGUUGAAUGCGAAGCAACAGAUGUGGAUACAUUCCUAAGUAUGUUUCACCGCCUGAAGCAACAUGAUGACCAAAGAACAACGAUCUACUAAAAGAGAAAGGUGAAUCAUCCAAAAGAAGUGAAUUUGCACUUAAUUGUCCAAUAAAAGAAAUUGGCUACAAACGGAGAAUGACCAAAGACCAAGUGGAACUCGUUCAAACCUAGGAGUUCUUGCCAUCACUUUAAAGAGGACGAAAAUAAGAAGCCAAUGACGAAAGAAUGGGGUCUAUCAGAUAUCAUACGAAGAAGUUAUGCGCGAAACAAGAAUGAUGCAGAAAAUUACACUGUCAGUCUUCUAAGACUGACGGUUAAAGCAAUUACUAAAGGCACCAGGGAAUUCGAUAAGGGGCUGCCACUUUCUUCCAACAUAGUCGUCUUCCUCUUCUCACCGGUUCACGACAACUUUCUCCGGUUGAGUUGUGGGAUGUUAAACUUGCAGGUAUAUGGGUUGGCAGCGAUGGAUAAAGUAGUCUGUGGUGUUGAUGGAUGCUGCCAAUAUGGUCACGAUGGUGUUGCUAUACAUCAUUGUCAUGGGUUUUGAAGCUGGCAGUGUUGGUGAUUGAUCAGUAGGAGUUCAGGGAUGGAGGACUAGCGGAGUUGGUGGUCUGUGGUUGUUUGGGUUGAUACGAACUCGAGUUCGGAUGGGAAGCUUUGGGUGUACGUAAUUUCGGCUUGGAUUCUGUGAGAUAAUGGGACCGAGGAAAUGAUGAGAGUAGCUGGCUGUGGUUCGUGGAGCAGAGCAGGGAAGAAGAUCAUGGUGGAGUGAGUAACAGCAGGAGAUACUCAAUUCUGUGUUGGCAGUUAAAUGGUUGAUCGAAGGAGCUCGAGAUGGCAGAGAAUAUUGAAGAGAAUGGGAUGCUUCUAGUUAAACUCGAGUUGAACUGGGAACUGUGGUUGCUGGAGUUGUAAGAAAUCCGGAGUUGGAGCUUGGGAGUAACGAGACUGAACGAUGAUCAACUGAGUUCGAGAAUGGAGAGAACAGGGAAGUGUUGGAUCGGUGAUGGUGGAGCUGUAGGGAGAGAUGCUGCUGCCAUUAUCGGCAAUGAGGAAGAUGAAUUGGUUAAGAUGGUGGAAUUCGCUGUGUAUUGAUGGACCACUGAUGGUUCGAUGAACGAGCAGAGAUGGAGGAGAUGCCCGAGUUUUGACAUGAAAGUAUUUACUUUGUUAUAUGAGUUCAUAUGGAAGCUGGGAAGUAAUGAUGGGGGACGAAAUUGUUGCAGCUGCCAGUAACAGGGACCGAGCAGUUCAGGGAAUGGUCGUGCUGUACUAACCAAUGAUGCAGAUAACUAAUGGUGAUGGCAGUGCUGAGUAUGGCAGGAAACCAGUUUGCUGUAAAGAUGGAGAAGGUCUGGCAGUGUUGAUUAUCGGUGAAGGGACAAAGAUGAACGGAGGGCAAUGGUUGAUGGCAGUGAUGGAGAUGGAUCGAGUUUCUCGUCUUGCUUCCAUCACUGAUGAGGAAUGACGAGAUAAAAUAGGAGCUAGGAAAUCACGAGGUCAAGGAAGCCAAAUCCAGAAGAAAUAAAAUGUCACAGAGAGGGGAGUAUCCGUGAGAGGAAUGCCGGAAACACAAAAUUCAGGGAGUUUAAAAACUCACGGCGACCAAUCUGUCCGUGAGUGACGGAGAAAAGAAUUGAAAAUCGAGAUGAUUUUAUUUCUCACGGAGGGAUAUAUAUCCGAGGAAAUUACCGGAAAACUAAAAAUCCCGCAACUAUUAUUUUUCACGGAGCAUUGUGUAUCCAAGGGAACAUGGGAAGCAAUUGAAAUAUGACUGUCAGUUUGGGUCGGCUGACAGUUGAAUGAUGUUAAUGGGCUGGAUUGUUACAGCAGGUGUGCAUGGCCCAAUUGUUUGAUUUAAUCUCUCACGACCAAGACAUGGCAGUGACCGGAUUAUGGAAUGUGGACUAGUUUUGGCAACCUACUUCUACUGAGAUUUGGAGCAAAGGCACUCUACAAUUUGAAGGCUAUAUAAGAAAUACUUCUUAACCUAAUUGAAAGAACCUAAUCAUAUCUACAUCUCAUAUUAUACUUUGUUGUUCAUUCAUAUUCUAGGGUUUACACCUUUAAGGGAAAAUCGGGUAACAGUGUAAUCAUGAGCAACUAAAUUCUUGUUGGGUAGGAUGAAUUCAAAGUUCCGGGUGUGAAGCUUAAUUAUUAUACAAAAAUUAUUUGAAGUAUUUAUCAUAUUAUCAUUUGUCUUUUCUA